rnacentral:rRNA from 1 species
GUACACGCUGUGACUAGCAUAUCAAUAAGCGGAGGAAAAGAAACUAACAAGGAUUCCCCUAGUAACGGCGAGUGAAGCGGGAAGAGCUCAAAUUUGAAAUCUUAAAGGGUUUCCCUUUACGAAUUGUAGUUUAAAGAAGUGUUUUCUGUUGAGGUUUUGGUAAAAGUUCCUUUGGAAUAGGACAUCAUAGAGGGUGAGAAUCCCGUAUUUGACCUUUACUUUCAACUUUGUGAUACACUUUCAAAGAGUCGGAUUGUUUGGGAAUGCAGUCCAAAAUGGGUGGUAAAUUUCAUCUAAAGCUAAAUAUUGGCGAGAGACCGAUAGCGAACAAGUACCGUGAGGGAAAGAUGAAAAGAACUUUGAAAAGAGAGUUAAACAGUACGUGAAAUUGUCAAAAGGGAAGCGUUUGACACCAGUGUUGUUUUUCUGAAAAUCAAUUAAAGAACUGUUUAUGCUAAGUUGUUUAGACUUUAUCAGCUAUCUGUUUAGUUUUGAGCUUUUCUUUAAUGCACUUUUCAGUUAACAAGUCAACAUCAAUUUCUUUUGCUGUAAAAAAGCUUGAGGAAGGUGGCUUGAGAUUCGUCUUAAGUGUUUAUAGCCUCUUGCCUAUGCAGUCGGAGAGAUUGAGGUCUGCAGCGUAGAUCCUUCGGGGCUAAAUGCAUUUGUGCUAAGUUAUAGCAUUUUAUAGACAACUUGUUGACUAUGAUUUGUCUUGUAGCUUACUCGCUUAUGUUAUUUUACCUACGCUUAGGAUGUUGACGCGCGUGUGUGCGUG